ensembl:rRNA 5S_rRNA 5S ribosomal RNA
GUCUGUAGCCAUACUACCCUGAAUGUCCCUAGUCUGACCUGAUCCUAAGGAGGAGUAGGCCUGGUUAGUACUUAUAUGGGAGACUACAUAGGAAUACUGGGUGCUAUAGGCC